AGGUUUGUCAAUCCAAAUAGAUGUAGUCUUUAGAGACAGAGUGAUUAGAUUAUAAACCACAAACAAAUCCAAAAGUAUUAUUUCAAAUCGACCUAUUCUUUGCUUCUUUUUGAUGUAUGAAUCAAAUAGUGCUUUGAACCUGCUUGAAAGCUGGAUUGCUAGGACCCUAGGUCCUAAAGGGAAUUAUUUAGAAUCAUUUAUGAAGCAUUCUCUGCUUUUGUCAUCUGCUGGCCCAUUUGGAAAGAGAGGAACAGCA